AGAGUUUGAUCAUGGCUCAGAUUGAACGCUGGUGGCAGGCUUAACACAUGCAAGUCGAGCGGUAACAUUUCUAGCUUGCUAGAAGAUGACGAGCGGCGGACGGGUGAGUAAUGCUUGGGAAUAUGCCUUAUGGUGGGGGACAACAGUUGGAAACGACUGCUAAUACCGCAUAACGUCUACGGACCAAAGGGGGGGAUCUUCGGACCUUUCGCCAUUUGAUUAGCCCAAGUGAGAUUAGCUAGUUGGUGAGGUAAAGGCUCACCAAGGCGACGAUCUCUAGCUGGUUUGAGAGGAUGAUCAGCCACACUGGGACUGAGACACGGCCCAGACUCCUACGGGAGNCANCAGUGGGGAAUAUUGCACAAUGGGCGAAANCCUGAUGCAGCCAUGCCGCGUGUGUGAAGAAG
rnacentral:rRNA from 1 species